rnacentral:rRNA from 1 species
UACAGAGGUCCCAAGCGUUGUUCGGAUUCAUUGGGCGUAAAGGGUGCGUAGGCGGCGCGGUAAGUCGGGUGUGAAAUCUCGGAGCUUAACUCCGAAACUGCAUUCGAUACUGCGGUGCUUGAGGACUGGAGAGGAGACUGGAAUUCAUGGUGUAGCAGUGAAAUGCGCAGAUAUCAGGAGGAACACCAAUGGCGAAGGCAGCACUCUGGGCCUGACCUGACGCUGAGGAGCGAAAGCGUGGGGAGCGAACAGG